ACAGUGAGAUUAGAACGAGGGCUGGGACUGGUGAGUGAGGGGGUGGAUCCCAGCCAGGAGGAGUGAGCUGAGGCUUGUGCCACAGAAGGCUGACUGGCACCUCUGCAAGAGAAGUCUUCAUUGCUGACUAUGAGACAAGAUGAGUUUUACUGGAAAACCUUUUUCUUCUUUUCACCAUCCAUACGCAUCUGACCCUCGGGAAGUUCACAGAAACGGUGGAAGCCAAAUAGGUGGCUCAGCAGGAAGAGGAUGCAGCAAUUAACACACAAUCAGAUGAUUAAAAGGCUCAUGAGUCUUAGC
ensembl:lncRNA